rnacentral:tRNA from 1 species
UCAAUUUGUCUUGCCCCUAAACCAAAUUAAAUUCGUAUUUUAUUGAAAAAUUCUUUUCAAAAACUUGUUGAUCUCUAUCCUUAU